GGCAAAACCUUGGCCUCCCUCCCACUCCCGCCCUCUCCUCAUCCCCCGCCCCCACCACCGCCCCACGCCCCAACCCCCUCGGACAUGACCCUAUCCACCCAUUACCACCCACAGCCACAACUACACGAAAGUAUAAAAAAAUAUACAGAUAUACACGGUGGUAGUAUCAAAGCAGCAGCAACAAAGAAAUACAAGGCUCACACAAAUUCAAAGGAAUACUC
rnacentral:lncRNA from 1 species